UGCAGUUAUAGUAUUAACAUUCUAUGAACAGGUAUAAAGAAUCAAAUACCUAACAAAUAAGAAAGCAGCACUUUCAUUCAUACGUCUAAGCAUUAAAUUUGAAUUCAUUAUCUCAAUGACUCCUCUAUAAAGAAACAAUUUUGCAUUCGACACCUAUAAUAAGUGCAUGUAUACACAAUCGAAAAAGGACCAAUUAGCAAGUAAACAAGAGAAACAUAAAUAUAAACUAUUCCCAUGAUAUUAUAAACUUUAUUGUUAAAAAUCAACAUUACCAACAGAACAGGAGCAAACAGCCAUGGCAGAACAGCAAGAUAGCUGAAAAAAUGGAAUUUGCAUCGUUUUCUGAAUCAACUCAACUAUCAAUGCAUUUGAAACCGCGACAAACACACAACCAGACAAUGAACAAGAUGGUGCAGACGAACAAAUCAAGCGAUAACACGAUCCACGCUUGCUUUUUCCAAACUUUCUUGGCUUUCUGAUGGUUGUGGUUUCCCAUCAAUUGACAAGAGUACAUCUCAUUCUUGUGCAUUACCGCUGAAAACUCCCGGCUCAAUAAAAUCCCGUCCCUAUCGUCAUCUUCAGCCCCAACGUCGACCUUCUUCUCGAUACCUCCUCUACCCUUCAUGUCCCCGCUACCAAUCUUAAAAUUCACAAACAUUCUAUUCUUCUUCUUCUUCUUCAAGUUCAUCGACGAAUCCCCAUUUGGCCCUCCCAAAUGGCCUGAACCGGAAUACAAACUGUCGCUUUGGUCAAAUCUUUCACAUAUUGGAACCGCUGGUUCCGAUUCCGGCCCCGGACCCAGCAAUCGAUGGAAAACCGGAUUAAAUUCCCCCUGAAAACAAUGAGCACUCACCCGGUCCAACCUCUUCUUCCCCAGAUCGCCCUGGAAAAACUUGUCAAACGUUUGUUUUGCGCUCUUGAGGAAGCCCAACCCCUCACAUUUCUCCAGUUUUUCAUCAAAAAUCGCGAAAUAAAUCAAAGGGUCAUCGAUCAAGAAAGUGUAGGUUUGAGACCGGACGGUGUGGGUGAAGAUGGAAUGAAACGACGGCGUUUUCUCCAAACAUUUUCCUGCGAUCGAUCCAAGUUUCUCAUCCUUCGAAUUGAACUCAGCCAACACCGUGGUACCCCUGGCAAUGCACACAUAAUGAACCAGAUCCGGUGCCGAAAUCAUCAUUCAAAUCCGACCCGACCCGUGUUGUUUAUAAAAAAACCCACCCGCGCACGUUUCUUGUUUUGACAGAUUCUGCCGCAAUUAAAGACAAAAUUUAUAUGCUCAGAAAUCCUGAUUGUCUUUUUGAACGGGGAAAUGUGAAAAUGGCAUUGAGAUCGAUGAUUUUUUAGGGUUUCAGAAAGGUAUCGGAAAAGGAGGAGGUGGAGAGAGAAGAAACACUUCAACAACCAACUCUUCCACCACCCUAGGGACGCCGUAGACAGUUGCCCUCGCAAUAGAUGUGGGGAAAUAAAAAAAUAUCUCCUAUUUCCAUUUUGUAUAAUUCAAUUAUUGACAGUAAAUUAUUAAAAUAAAAUAAAAUAAAAUAAAAAACACGAUUAUUCUUUUCGGUGAUAUAAAGAGAACAAGUGGGAAUCUUUCAUAUUUCUUGAG
rnacentral:lncRNA from 1 species